CCCGUCUGAUUUCCUGGGUCCUCAAGUAGCAGCCCCUAGACCUUCGCAGAUGGAUGGCUUGGUUGGUGGGUCUGCCGAUGCAUGUUCACUGGGCUUGCUAUCCUCUUUACAACACAUUAUUGACUCUUGGGGCCUAAAGGGUACUCCUCAGUCAAAUGCGGGACAGGUCUGGGCGGAGGAAGGGACGUCGAGAGAGCACUGGGUCUGGG